rnacentral:lncRNA from 1 species
AUGCUCAGGUAUUGGGUUCGAAAUCCUAGAAGUGGUAGAUUAGAUCUAUUAUUAAAUGCUAUUUUUGGUUCACAUGCUUGCCAUUUUAGAUUCAAAUUUUUAUGCAUAUAAAUUCAUGUCAUUGAUCUAUUUGUAAGAAUUUUAAAAUUAAAUCUUAUACAUAUAUUUAUAGAUUAAAUAAUUUAAUCUAAUAUUCUUCUG